AUACUUUUACCUUGACGGUGCCGAUGGGUGAUCAAGAAGGCCCAUGACCUAGACGAGUGACCUCCAUUGCACUUAGGAGGGUCGCUGGUCUAAGGCGGGUGAUUGAGACCUACGUUAUAAUGUGUGGUAGUGGGGCCUGUGUUUGCGGGCCCCUU
rfam:Medicago truncatula strain A17 chromosome 7, whole genome shotgun sequence.